GUCUCAUGUUGCCUCACCUCCACAUGCUACUCAGCUGUCUCCUCAUUCCUCUCUUCUCCACACUCACAACUUAUUGAAUUGAAGCUGAAUUACAACAAAUUGGGAGACUCAGGAGCUUGUCUGCUGUAUGAGGGGUUGCGGAGCCCAAACUGUAAAUUACAGAUACUGUGGCUGUAUGAUAAUGAUAUCAGUGAGAGUGAGAAGAACAACCUGAGGUCACUACAGCAAGAGUUGCAAAGGACUGGACAGCAGGUGGAUAUUGACAUAUAAGAAGACUGGACAUGGUGAUCAACGGACCCCAGUGAUGGCGCACCCCAGUCCACUCAUUGUAUAUUCUUCUCUUAAUUCUUUCAUAAUCUCCUCAGCUAUCCUUCACUUUUAAUAAAUUCUCCAUGUCUUCUUCUCA